rnacentral:rRNA from 1 species
GCAGUUAAAAAGCUCGUAGUUGAAUUUCUGCUGCAUUACAUAUCUCUUGUUUGAGUUUGUUUUUGUGGCUUAUUUCGGUUUGAUUUUUUCUUUCCGGAUGAUUACUUUGAGAAAAUUAGAGUGCUCAAAGCAGGCUUUUGCCUUGAAUAGUUUAGCAUGGAAUAAUAAAGUAGGACUUUGGUUCUAUUUUGUUGGUUUUAGGUACCAAAGUAAUGGUUAAUAGGAACAGUUGGGGGCAUUCGUAUUUAACUGUCAGAGGUGAAAUUCUUAGAUUUGUUAAAGACGAACUACUGCGAAAGCAUUUGCCAAGGAUGUUUUC